rnacentral:rRNA from 1 species
UGAGGAAUAUUGGUCAAUGGACGGAAGUCUGAACCAGCCAAGUAGCGUGCAGGAAGACGGCCCUAUGGGUUGUAAACUGCUUUUAUACGAGAAUAAUUUGAUGCACGUGUGCGUUAUUGCAUGUAUCGUAUGAAUAAGGACCGGCUAAUUCCGUGCCAGCAGCCGCGGUAAUACGGAAGGUCCAGGCGUUAUCCGGAUUUAUUGGGUUUAAAGGGAGUGUAGGCGGUUUGUUAAGCGUGUUGUGAAAUUUAGAUGCUCAACAUUUAACUUGCAGCGCGAACUGGCGAACUUGAGUGCACACAACGUAUGCGGAAUUCAUGGUGUAGCGGUGAAAUGCUUAGAUAUCAUGAAGAACUCCGAUUGCGAAGGCAGCAUACGGGAGUGUAACUGACGCUUAAGCUCGAAGGUGCGGGUAUCGAACAGGAUUAGAUACCCUGGUAGUCCGCACAGUAAACGAUGGAUGCCCGCUGUUAGCGCCUGGCGUUAGCGGCUAAGCGAAAGCAUUAAGCAUCCCACCUGGGGAGUACGCCGGCAACGGUG